UUUUCUUUUCCUUUCAGGAUAUUAUUCGUUCAUGAGUGAGUCGUUCUAUUUUACGUGGAAAUAAUCAAUUCUAUAAAACAAACUAAUAAGGUCGAAUGAUGUAAAACCUAUUUGGAAAGGUUAUAUGUGGAUCGAGAAUUAAGAGAACAACAAUGUUAUCUCGUGGUGAUUGAAGAUUAGCUCUAUCUGGAAAGGUAGAGAUGUGAUGGAAAAUAUACAUUGAUGUUUCUGGAAAUGGGGAUUACGAUAUUAUUCUGUCUUCAUUAAAAGGAAGAGGAAGGUAAAAAGCUGUCUGUAGAAAAGGGCUUGGUUGAUUUGAUUAGGUCUACAUCAAGGAUUGAUGUAUUCCAUUUUGUUAAAAAAGUUUUUUUUUGUCUCAUCAAGUUAAAACAAUUUUAUACUCCACCCUUCCCUAUCCCAUUUCAUCUUGGAAUACUACACAUCUUAGGAGAUUAUUCACGUAUGGUGAUUGCUUUGUCGGAUCUAUCUUUUGUUGAAACUGAGUAUUUUCAUGAGGGAAUGAAAAUGCUAAACUGGGAUAGUAAAUAAAUUGAGUGAGUCGUGUUCCACCUUUGUUUUUAUCCUGUCCUGGAUGCAUGGAUAGAAUGACCCUGAUUCAUGAAGGUUAAACUUGCCUUUCUUUGAAGCUGAUAGAUAUGGGGAAGAAAGCUCCUAGAUCUCAUUUGAGGAUCUGGAACCUUUGUGCCUGUAAAUGAAAAGAAAAUACCAAAAAGCAGCAGAUAAAUCAAUUAAUUGAAAAAUGAGAUAUGCUAGAUAAAUUCUUGUAAUUUGCAACCCAUCCUCACGGCUUAAACUGAGGGUGUUACUCAACGCAAGAUACAAGUACCUGCAACUUAGAAAUCAAAUCCUUAUUUUUUCUACCUAUUUCUUGGAACGUGGAUCCAUUAAUAGCAAUCUUUACUUAUUUAUUUCAGGACUCUUUUUCACAGACCUUUUCUGGUUAUUGGAAAUGACCUUAUUGAAUAAGGCAUGGCAUUAUUUCCUCACUCCCUGAUUUAUUUUUUCUUCUUCUAUAUGGAUCCCAGAUAUCUACAGGGGUUUUUAGAAUCCAUAAAAGAUGAUGAGAGAGGACAAGACAGGACCUUAGGAAAAAGAUUCAAUCUUAUCAAAAGUUUGGAAAGCAUAGGCAGUCAGUUAUUCAUGAAAAAGAAAAGAAACGUAACCCUUGGUAAGUCUUAUGAUUGAUAUUAAAGUUAAUGCAUUCUUCAUUAAAAGCAGCAAUUGAGGUAACUUAUACCCGUUUGUUUCGUCAAAAUGAAGUAGAGUAAAACUUAUUUAAAUAAAUAUACUCGAUUCUGGGUGUGGAUUUAAUGUAAAUCAAUACUUUAAUCCUCAAUCUGAAACGGAACAGCGUUUUUCAUUUGAUUUUAUCUUUUAAAUGAAUGUCACUGCUUUCACUUAAUGUAUCCUCUUUUUUGCUUUUACAGGGCUCAAUCAUAUUUAAAAAAUGACAAAAGAUUGUAUGGUUACGAAAUGAAAAAAUUGAUGAAAAGGAUGAAUCUAUGUAUCAAUGAUCUUCUCAGGAAUUGUUUUUCAGACGGUAAAUUUUAUUGCUUUUAAAAAUGUUAGUCUGUUUUUUGUUUUGUUUUUAAAAACAUGAUGUAUAACCUAUUCUGCUUGAAUCCAGUAUUCAAUCCAUGAAAGCAAAAAAAUGUGAUUUAAUGAGACUGAAAUAUUUUUAUGUAAAUACCUAUUAGUUAAUACGUGAUAAACACGUGAUAAAUCAGUUUAUUGUUUUCUUUUCCUUUCAGGAUAUUAUUCGUUCAUGAGUGAGUCGUUCUAUUUUACGUGGAAAUAAUCAAUUCUAUAAAACAAACUAAUAAGGUCGAAUGAUGUAAAACCUAUUUGGAAAGGUUAUAUGUGGAUCGAGAAUUAAGAGAACAACAAUGUUAUCUCGUGGUGAUUGAAGAUUAGCUCUAUCUGGAAAGUGAGUCGUGUUCCACCUUUGUUUUUAUCCUGUCCUGGAUGCAUGGAUAGAAUGACCCUGAUUCAUGAAGGUUAAACUUGCCUUUCUUUGAAGCUGAUAGAUAUGGGGAAGAAAGCUCCUAGAUCUCAUUUGAGGAUCUGGAACCUUUGUGCCUGUAAAUGAAAAGAAAAUACCAAAAAGCAGCAGAUAAAUCAAUUGACUCUUUUUCACAGACCUUUUCUGGUUAUUGGAAAUGACCUUAUUGAAUAAGGCAUGGCAUUAUUUCCUCACUCCCUGAUUUAUUUUUUCUUCUUCUAUAUGGAUCCCAGAUAUCUACAGGGGUUUUUAGAAUCCAUAAAAGAUGAUGAGAGAGGACAAGACAGGACCUUAGGAAAAAGAUUCAAUCUUAUCAAAAGUUUGGAAAGCAUAGGCAGUCAGUUAUUCAUGAAAAAGAAAAGAAACGUAACCCUUGGUAAGUCUUAUGAUUGAUAUUAAAGUUAAUGCAUUCUUCAUUAAAAGCAGCAAUUGAGGUAACUUAUACCCGUUUGUUUCGUCAAAAUGAAGUAGAGUAAAACUUAUUUAAAUAAAUAUACUCGAUUCUGGGUGUGGAUUUAAUGUAAAUCAAUACUUUAAUCCUCAAUCUGAAACGGAACAGCGUUUUUCAUUUGAUUUUAUCUUUUAAAUGAAUGUCACUGCUUUCACUUAAUGUAUCCUCUUUUUGCUUUUACAGGGCUCAAUCAUAUUUAAAAAAUGACAAAAGAUUGUAUGGUUACGAAAUGAAAAAAUUGAUGAAAAGGAUGAAUCUAUGUAUCAAUGAUCUUCUCAGGAAUUGUUUUUCAGACGGUAAAUUUUAUUGCUUUUAAAAAUGUUAGUCUGUUUUUUGUUUUGUUUUUAAAAACAUGAUGUAUAACCUAUUCUGCUUGAAUCCAGUAUUCAAUCCAUGAAAGCAAAAAAAUGUGAUUUAAUGAGACUGAAAUAUUUUUAUGUAAAUACCUAUUAGUUAAUACGUGAUAAACACGUGAUAAAUCAGUUUAUUGUUUUCUUUUCCUUUCAGGAUAUUAUUCGUUCAUGAGUGAGUCGUUCUAUUUUACGUGGAAAUAAUCAAUUCUAUAAAACAAACUAAUAAGGUCGAAUGAUGUAAAACCUAUUUGGAAAGGUUAUAUGUGGAUCGAGAAUUAAGAGAACAACAAUGUUAUCUCGUGGUGAUUGAAGAUUAGCUCUAUCUGGAAAGUGAGUCGUGUUCCACCUUUGUUUUUAUCCUGUCCUGGAUGCAUGGAUAGAAUGACCCUGAUUCAUGAAGGUUAAACUUGCCUUUCUUUGAAGCUGAUAGAUAUGGGGAAGAAAGCUCCUAGAUCUCAUUUGAGGAUCUGGAACCUUUGUGCCUGUAAAUGAAAAGAAAAUACCAAAAAGCAGCAGAUAAAUCAAUUGACUCUUUUUCACAGACCUUUUCUGGUUAUUGGAAAUGACCUUAUUGAAUAAGGCAUGGCAUUAUUUCCUCACUCCCUGAUUUAUUUUUUCUUCUUCUAUAUGGAUCCCAGAUAUCUACAGGGGUUUUUAGAAUCCAUAAAAGAUGAUGAGAGAGGACAAGACAGGACCUUAGGAAAAAGAUUCAAUCUUAUCAAAAGUUUGGAAAGCAUAGGCAGUCAGUUAUUCAUGAAAAAGAAAAGAAACGUAACCCUUGGUAAGUCUUAUGAUUGAUAUUAAAGUUAAUGCAUUCUUCAUUAAAAGCAGCAAUUGAGGUAACUUAUACCCGUUUGUUUCGUCAAAAUGAAGUAGAGUAAAACUUAUUUAAAUAAAUAUACUCGAUUCUGGGUGUGGAUUUAAUGUAAAUCAAUACUUUAAUCCUCAAUCUGAAACGGAACAGCGUUUUUCAUUUGAUUUUAUCUUUUAAAUGAAUGUCACUGCUUUCACUUAAUGUAUCCUCUUUUUGCUUUUACAGGGCUCAAUCAUAUUUAAAAAAUGACAAAAGAUUGUAUGGUUACGAAAUGAAAAAAUUGAUGAAAAGGAUGAAUCUAUGUAUCAAUGAUCUUCUCAGGAAUUGUUUUUCAGACGGUAAAUUUUAUUGCUUUUAAAAAUGUUAGUCUGUUUUUUGUUUUGUUUUUAAAAACAUGAUGUAUAACCUAUUCUGCUUGAAUCCAGUAUUCAAUCCAUGAAAGCAAAAAAAUGUGAUUUAAUGAGACUGAAAUAUUUUUAUGUAAAUACCUAUUAGUUAAUACGUGAUAAACACGUGAUAAAUCAGUUUAUUGUUUUCUUUUCCUUUCAGGAUAUUAUUCGUUCAUGAGUGAGUCGUUCUAUUUUACGUGGAAAUAAUCAAUUCUAUAAAACAAACUAAUAAGGUCGAAUGAUGUAAAAACUAUUUGGAAAGGUUAUAUGUGGAUCGAGAAUUAAGAGAACAACAAUGUUAUCUCGUGGUGAUUGAAGAUUAGCUCUAUCUGGAAAGUGAGUCGUGUUCCACCUUUGUUUUUAUCCUGUCCUGGAUGCAUGGAUAGAAUGACCCUGAUUCAUGAAGGUUAAACUUGCCUUUCUUUGAAGCUGAUAGAUAUGGGGAAGAAAGCUCCUAGAUCUCAUUUGAGGAUCUGGAACCUUUGUGCCUGUAAAUGAAAAGAAAAUACCAAAAAGCAGCAGAUAAAUCAAUUGACUCUUUUUCACAGACCUUUUCUGGUUAUUGGAAAUGACCUUAUUGAAUAAGGCAUGGCAUUAUUUCCUCACUCCCUGAUUUAUUUAUUUUUCUUCUAUAUGGAUCCCAGAUAUCUACAGGGGUUUUUAGAAUCCAUAAAAGAUGAUGAGAGAGGACAAGACAGGACCUUAGGAAAAAGAUUCAAUCUUAUCAAAAGUUUGGAAAGCAUAGGCAGUCAGUUAUUCAUGAAAAAGAAAAGAAACGUAACCCUUGGUAAGUCUUAUGAUUGAUAUUAAAGUUAAUGCAUUCUUCAUUAAAAGCAGCAAUUGAGGUAACUUAUACCCGUUUGUUUCGUCAAAAUGAAGUAGAGUAAAACUUAUUUAAAUAAAUAUACUCGAUUCUGGGUGUGGAUUUAAUGUAAAUCAAUACUUUAAUCCUCAAUCUGAAACGGAACAGCGUUUUUCAUUUGAUUUUAUCUUUUAAAUGAAUGUCACUGCUUUCACUUAAUGUAUCCUCUUUUUUGCUUUUACAGGGCUCAAUCAUAUUUAAAAAAUGACAAAAGAUUGUAUGGUUACGAAAUGAAAAAAUUGAUGAAAAGGAUGAAUCUAUGUAUCAAUGAUCUUCUCAGGAAUUGUUUUUCAGACGGUAAAUUUUAUUGCUUUUAAAAAUGUUAGUCUGUUUUUUGUUUUGUUUUUAAAAACAUGAUGUAUAACCUAUUCUGCUUGAAUCCAGUAUUCAAUCCAUGAAAGCAAAAAAAUGUGAUUUAAUGAGACUGAAAUAUUUUUAUGUAAAUACCUAUUAGUUAAUACGUGAUAAACACGUGAUAAAUCAGUUUAUUGUUUUCUUUUCCUUUCAGGAUAUUAUUCGUUCAUGAGUGAGUCGUUCUAUUUUACGUGGAAAUAAUCAAUUCUAUAAAACAAACUAAUAAGGUCGAAUGAUGUAAAAACUAUUUGGAAAGGUUAUAUGUGGAUCGAGAAUUAAGAGAACAACAAUGUUAUCUCGUGGUGAUUGAAGAUUAGCUCUAUCUGGAAAGUGAGUCGUGUUCCACCUUUGUUUUUAUCCUGUCCUGGAUGCAUGGAUAGAAUGACCCUGAUUCAUGAAGGUUAAACUUGCCUUUCUUUGAAGCUGAUAGAUAUGGGGAAGAAAGCUCCUAGAUCUCAUUUGAGGAUCUGGAACCUUUGUGCCUGUAAAUGAAAAGAAAAUACCAAAAAGCAGCAGAUAAAUCAAUUGACUCUUUUUCACAGACCUUUUCUGGUUAUUGGAAAUGACCUUAUUGAAUAAGGCAUGGCAUUAUUUCCUCACUCCCUGAUUUAUUUUUUUUCUUCUAUAUGGAUCCCAGAUAUCUACAGGGGUUUUUAGAAUCCAUAAAAGAUGAUGAGAGAGGACAAGACAGGACCUUAGGAAAAAGAUUCAAUCUUAUCAAAAGUUUGGAAAGCAUAGGCAGUCAGUUAUUCAUGAAAAAGAAAAGAAACGUAACCCUUGGUAAGUCUUAUGAUUGAUAUUAAAGUUAAUGCAUUCUUCAUUAAAAGCAGCAAUUGAGGUAACUUAUACCCGUUUGUUUCGUCAAAAUGAAGUAGAGUAAAACUUAUUUAAAUAAAUAUACUCGAUUCUGGGUGUGGAUUUAAUGUAAAUCAAUACUUUAAUCCUCAAUCUGAAACGGAACAGCGUUUUUCAUUUGAUUUUAUCUUUUAAAUGAAUGUCACUGCUUUCACUUAAUGUAUCCUCUUUUUGCUUUUACAGGGCUCAAUCAUAUUUAAAAAAUGACAAAAGAUUGUAUGGUUACGAAAUGAAAAAAUUGAUGAAAAGGAUGAAUCUAUGUAUCAAUGAUCUUCUCAGGAAUUGUUUUUCAGACGGAUAUUAUUCGUUCAUGAGUGAGUCGUUCUAUUUUAAGUGGAAAUAAUCAAUUCUAUAAAACAAACUAAUAAGGUCGAAUGAUGUAAAACCUAUUUGGAAAGGUUAUAUGUGGAUCGAGAAUUAAGAGAACAACAAUGUUAUCUCGUGGUGAUUGAAGAUUAGCUCUAUCUGGAAAGUGAGUCGUGUUCCACCUUUGUUUUUAUCCUGUCCUGGAUGCAUGGAUAGAAUGACCCUGAUUCAUGAAGGUUAAACUUGCCUUUCUUUGAAGCUGAUAGAUAUGGGGAAGAAAGCUCCUAGAUCUCAUUUGAGGAUCUGGAACCUUUGUGCCUGUAAAUGAAAAGAAAAUACUAAAAAGCAGCAGAUAAAUCAAUUAAUUGAAAAAUGAGAUAUGCUAGAUAAAUUCUUGUAAUUUGCAACCCAUCCUCACGGCUUAAACUGAGGGUGUUACUCAACGCAAGAUACAAGUACCUGCAACUUAGAAAUCAAAUCCUUAUUUUUUCUACCUAUUUCUUGGAACGUGGAUCCAUUAAUAGCAAUCUUUACUUAUUUAUUUCAGGACUCUUUUUCACAGACCUUUUCUGGUUAUUGGAAAUGACCUUAUUGAAUAAGGCAUGGCAUUAUUUCCUCACUCCCUGAUUUAUUUUUUUUCUUCUAUAUGGAUCCCAGAUAUCUACAGGGGUUUUUAGAAUCCAUAAAAGAUGAUGAGAGAGGACAAGACAGGACCUUAGGAAAAAGAUUCAAUCUUAUCAAAAGUUUGGAAAGCAUAGGCAGUCAGUUAUUCAUGAAAAAGAAAAGAAACGUAACCCUUGGUAAGUCUUAUGAUUGAUAUUAAAGUUAAUGCAUUCUUCAUUAAAAGCAGCAAUUGAGGUAACUUAUACCCGUUUGUUUCGUCAAAAUGAAGUAGAGUAAAACUUAUUUAAAUAAAUAUACUCGAUUCUGGGUGUGGAUUUAAUGUAAAUCAAUACUUUAAUCCUCAAUCUGAAACGGAACAGCGUUUUUCAUUUGAUUUUAUCUUUUAAAUGAAUGUCACUGCUUUCACUUAAUGUAUCCUCUUUUUGCUUUUACAGGGCUCAAUCAUAUUUAAAAAAUGACAAAAGAUUGUAUGGUUACGAAAUGAAAAAAUUGAUGAAAAGGUAUGUAAUUUAUUAAUUUUGAUAAGGAAAUCAGUUGUAGUAUUUCUGUCGAGCCUAGAGUCACGGAAUGUUGUUUUAAUUCCAUCCUCAUUUCGUACUGUAUUGGUAUCGUAGACUAAAUCCUAACUUUCGCACAUCUUCCUUUGUUUACAACUGGAAGCAUGAGAUAACGACGAUGGAACAAAAACACAACUAAUUUUUUUGAGUCAUGUUAUUUUUUUAUUUUUUCCAAGUUACUGAUUUUUUCUUCAAUUUUUGUAGGAUGAAUCUAUGUAUCAAUGAUCUUCUCAGGAAUUGUUUUUCAGACGGUAAAUUUUAUUGCUUUUAAAAAUGUUAGUCUGUUUUUUGUUUUGUUUUUAAAAACAUGAUGUAUAACCUAUUCUGCUUGAAUCCAGUAUUCAAUCCAUGAAAGCAAAAAAAUGUGAUUUAAUGAGACUGAAAUAUUUUUAUGUAAAUACCUAUUAGUUAAUACGUGAUAAACACGUGAUAAAUCAGUUUAUUGUUUUCUUUUCCUUUCAGGAUAUUAUUCGCUCAUGAGUGAGUCGUUCUAUUUUAAGUGGAAAUAAUCAAUUCUAUAAAACAAACUAAUAAGGUACGUAAGCUUUUUAUAUUCUUUUUGCUUCAAAAUGCAUUGCUUUUUUCCUUUCUGGUUCUUUCAAAAAAAUGUUUAUUUAAGAACCCUUCGUAAUGCAAAUAUUAAGUUAUGGGUCUCAAAUAGAAAUCAUAUGCCCACUUAUGGUAUACUGGUUGGGACACGUGCUUCCACAAAUAAACCUUAAAGGCAUACGUUUUCUUCAAGUGACUGUGGCAAAAGAGUUAUUAUUACUUUUAUUUUUCUCUUGUAGGUCGAAUGAUGUAAAAACUAUUUGGAAAGGUUAUAUGUGGAUCGAGAAUUAAGAGAACAACAAUGUUAUCUCGUGGUGAUUGAAGAUUAGCUCUAUCUGGAAAGUGAGUCGUGUUCCACCUUUGUUUUUAUCCUGUCCUGGAUGCAUGGAUAGAAUGACCCUGAUUCAUGAAGGUUAAACUUGCCUUUCUUUGAAGCUGAUAGAUAUGGGGAAGAAAGCUCCUAGAUCUCAUUUGAGGAUCUGGAACCUUUGUGCCUGUAAAUGAAAAGAAAAUACUUAAAAGCAGCAGAUAAAUCAAUUAAUUGAAAAAUGAGAUAUGCUAGAUAAAUUCUUGUAAUUUGCAACCCAUCCUCACGGCUUAAACUGAGGGUGUUACUCAACGCAAGAUACAAGUACCUGCAACUUAGAAAUCAAAUCCUUAUUUUUUCUACCUAUUUCUUGGAACGUGGAUCCAUUAAUAGCAAUCUUUACUUAUUUAUUUCAGGACUCUUUUUCACAGACCUUUUCUGGUUAUUGGAAAUGACCUUAUUGAAUAAGGCAUGGCAUUAUUUCCUCACUCCCUGAUUUAUUUUUUUUCUUCUAUAUGGAUCCCAGAUAUCUACAGGGGUUUUUAGAAUCCAUAAAAGAUGAUGAGAGAGGACAAGACAGGACCUUAGGAAAAAGAUUCAAUCUUAUCAAAAGUUUGGAAAGCAUAGGCAGUCAGUUAUUCAUGAAAAAGAAAAGAAACGUAACCCUUGGUAAGUCUUAUGAUUGAUAUUAAAGUUAAUGCAUUCUUCAUUAAAAGCAGCAAUUGAGGUAACUUAUACCCGUUUGUUUCGUCAAAAUGAAGUAGAGUAAAACUUAUUUAAAUAAAUAUACUCGAUUCUGGGUGUGGAUUUAAUGUAAAUCAAUACUUUAAUCCUCAAUCUGAAACGGAACAGCGUUUUUCAUUUGAUUUUAUCUUUUAAAUGAAUGUCACUGCUUUCACUUAAUGUAUCCUCUUUUUGCUUUUACAGGGCUCAAUCAUAUUUAAAAAAUGACAAAAGAUUGUAUGGUUACGAAAUGAAAAAAUUGAUGAAAAGGUAUGUAAUUUAUUAAUUUUGAUAAGGAAAUCAGUUGUAGUAUUUCUGUCGAGCCUAGAGUCACGGAAUGUUGUUUUAAUUCCAUCCUCAUUUCGUACUGUAUUGGUAUCGUAGACUAAAUCCUAACUUUCGCACAUCUUCCUUUGUUUACAACUGGAAGCAUGAGAUAACGACGAUGGAACAAAAACACAACUAAUUUUUUUGAGUCAUGUUAUUUUUUUAUUUUUUCCAAGUUACUGAUUUUUUCUUCAAUUUUUGUAGGAUGAAUCUAUGUAUCAAUGAUCUUCUCAGGAAUUGUUUUUCAGACGGUAAAUUUUAUUGCUUUUAAAAAUGUUAGUCUGUUUUUUGUUUUGUUUUUAAAAACAUGAUGUAUAACCUAUUCUGCUUGAAUCCAGUAUUCAAUCCAUGAAAGCAAAAAAAUGUGAUUUAAUGAGACUGAAAUAUUUUUAUGUAAAUACCUAUUAGUUAAUACGUGAUAAACACGUGAUAAAUCAGUUUAUUGUUUUCUUUUCCUUUCAGGAUAUUAUUCGCUCAUGAGUGAGUCGUUCUAUUUUAAGUGGAAAUAAUCAAUUCUAUAAAACAAACUAAUAAGGUCGAAUGAUGUAAAACCUAUUUGGAAAGGUUAUAUGUGGAUCGAGAAUUAAGAGAACAACAAUGUUAUCUCGUGGUGAUUGAAGAUUAGCUCUAUCUGGAAAGUGAGUCGUGUUCCACCUUUGUUUUUAUCCUGUCCUGGAUGCAUGGAUAGAAUGACCCUGAUUCAUGAAGGUUAAACUUGCCUUUCUUUGAAGCUGAUAGAUAUGGGGAAGAAAGCUCCUAGAUCUCAUUUGAGGAUCUGGAACCUUUGUGCCUGUAAAUGAAAAGAAAAUACCAAAAAGCAGCAGAUAAAUCAAUUGACUCUUUUUCACAGACCUUUUCUGGUUAUUGGAAAUGACCUUAUUGAAUAAGGCAUGGCAUUAUUUCCUCACUCCCUGAUUUAUUUUUUUUCUUCUAUAUGGAUCCCAGAUAUCUACAGGGGUUUUUAGAAUCCAUAAAAGAUGAUGAGAGAGGACAAGACAGGACCUUAGGAAAAAGAUUCAAUCUUAUCAAAAGUUUGGAAAGCAUAGGCAGUCAGUUAUUCAUGAAAAAGAAAAGAAACGUAACCCUUGGUAAGUCUUAUGAUUGAUAUUAAAGUUAAUGCAUUCUUCAUUAAAAGCAGCAAUUGAGGUAACUUAUACCCGUUUGUUUCGUCAAAAUGAAGUAGAGUAAAACUUAUUUAAAUAAAUAUACUCGAUUCUGGGUGUGGAUUUAAUGUAAAUCAAUACUUUAAUCCUCAAUCUGAAACGGAACAGCGUUUUUCAUUUGAUUUUAUCUUUUAAAUGAAUGUCACUGCUUUCACUUAAUGUAUCCUCUUUUUUGCUUUUACAGGGCUCAAUCAUAUUUAAAAAAUGACAAAAGAUUGUAUGGUUACGAAAUGAAAAAAUUGAUGAAAAGGAUGAAUCUAUGUAUCAAUGAUCUUCUCAGGAAUUGUUUUUCAGACGGAUAUUAUUCGUUCAUGAGUGAGUCGUUCUAUUUUAAGUGGAAAUAAUCAAUUCUAUAAAACAAACUAAUAAGGUCGAAUGAUGUAAAACCUAUUUGGAAAGGUUAUAUGUGGAUCGAGAAUUAAGAGAACAACAAUGUUAUCUCGUGGUGAUUGAAGAUUAGCUCUAUCUGGAAAGUGAGUCGUGUUCCACCUUUGUUUUUAUCCUGUCCUGGAUGCAUGGAUAGAAUGACCCUGAUUCAUGAAGGUUAAACUUGCCUUUCUUUGAAGCUGAUAGAUAUGGGGAAGAAAGCUCCUAGAUCUCAUUUGAGGAUCUGGAACCUUUGUGCCUGUAAAUGAAAAGAAAAUACCAAAAAGCAGCAGAUAAAUCAAUUGACUCUUUUUCACAGACCUUUUCUGGUUAUUGGAAAUGACCUUAUUGAAUAAGGCAUGGCAUUAUUUCCUCACUCCCUGAUUUAUUUAUUUUUCUUCUAUAUGGAUCCCAGAUAUCUACAGGGGUUUUUAGAAUCCAUAAAAGAUGAUGAGAGAGGACAAGACAGGACCUUAGGAAAAAGAUUCAAUCUUAUCAAAAGUUUGGAAAGCAUAGGCAGUCAGUUAUUCAUGAAAAAGAAAAGAAACGUAACCCUUGGUAAGUCUUAUGAUUGAUAUUAAAGUUAAUGCAUUCUUCAUUAAAAGCAGCAAUUGAGGUAACUUAUACCCGUUUGUUUCGUCAAAAUGAAGUAGAGUAAAACUUAUUUAAAUAAAUAUACUCGAUUCUGGGUGUGGAUUUAAUGUAAAUCAAUACUUUAAUCCUCAAUCUGAAACGGAACAGCGUUUUUCAUUUGAUUUUAUCUUUUAAAUGAAUGUCACUGCUUUCACUUAAUGUAUCCUCUUUUUGCUUUUACAGGGCUCAAUCAUAUUUAAAAAAUGACAAAAGAUUGUAUGGUUACGAAAUGAAAAAAUUGAUGAAAAGGUAUGUAAUUUAUUAAUUUUGAUAAGGAAAUCAGUUGUAGUAUUUCUGUCGAGCCUAGAGUCACGGAAUGUUGUUUUAAUUCCAUCCUCAUUUCGUACUGUAUUGGUAUCGUAGACUAAAUCCUAACUUUCGCACAUCUUCCUUUGUUUACAACUGGAAGCAUGAGAUAACGACGAUGGAACAAAAA
rnacentral:lncRNA from 1 species